GGGGCGUAAAGAGCUCGUAGGUGGUUCGAUUACGUNGGAUGUGAAAAUCAGGGGCUCAACCCNNGACCUGCNUCCGAUACGGUCGAGCUGGAGUUUGGUAGGGGAGACUGGAAUUCCUGGUGUAGCGGUGGAAUGCGCAGACAUCAGGAGGAACACCGAUGGCGAAGGCAGGUCUCUGGGCCAAUACUGACACUGAGGAGCGAAAGCGUGGGGAGCGAACAGGAUUAGAUACCCUGGUAGUCCACGCCGUAAACGGUGGGCGCUAGUUGUGCGAACCUUCCACGGUUUGUGCGACGCAGCUAACGCAUUAAGCGCCCCGCCUGGGGAGUACGAUCGCAAGAUUAAAACUCAAAGGAAUUGACGGGGCCCCGCACAAGCAGCGGAGCAUGCGGCUUAAUUCGACGCAACGCGAAGAACCUUACCAAGGCUUGACAUAUACAGGAAUACGGCAGAGAUGUCGUAGCCGCAAGGUCUGUAUACAGGUGGUGCAUGGUUGUCGUCAGCUCGUGUCGUGAGAUGUUGGGUUAAGUCCCGCAACGAGCGCAACCCUCGUUCUGUGUUGCCAGCAUUUAGUUGGGGACUCACAGGAGACCGCCGGGGUUAACUCGGAGGAAGGUGGGGAUGACGUCAAAUCAUCAUGCCCCUUAUGUCUUGGGCUGCACGCAUGCUACAAUGGCUGGUACAAACGGCUGCAAUACCGCAAGGUGGAGCGAAUCCGAGAAAGCCAGUCUCAGUUCGGAUUGGGGUCUGCAACUCGACCCCAUGAAGUCGGAGUUGCUAGUAAUCGUAGAUCAGCAACGCUACGGUGAAUACGUUCCCGGGGCUUGUACACACCGCCCGUCACAUCACGAAAGUCGGUAACACCCAAAGUCAGUGGCCCAACCGCAAGGAGGGAGCUGCCAAAGGUGGGAUCGGUGAUUGGGAUG
rnacentral:rRNA from 1 species